GAUGAACGCUGGCGGCGUGCCUAAUACAUGCAAGUAGAACGCCGAAGCAAGGAGCUUGCUCUUUUCGGAUUAGUUGCGAACGGGUGAGUAACGCGUAGAUAACCUGCCUCUUAGCCGGGGAUAACUACUGGAAACGAUAGCUAAUACCGCAUAAUAGUAGCUGUUGCAUGAUACCUACUUAAAAGGUGCAUUUGCACCACUACCAGAUGGACCUGCGUUGUAUUAGCUAGUUGGUGAGGUAACAGCCCACCCAGGCGACGAUACAUAGCCGAGCUGAGAGGGGGAUCGGGCACAAUGGGAAAGAGACAAAGGCCAAACACCCACGGGGGGGAGGAGGAGGGGAAAUUUGGCAAUGGGGGGAAAGCCGAACGAGCAAAGCCGCGUGAGUGAAAGAAGGUUUCGGAGUGGAAAACUCUGUUGUAUGAGAAGAAAGAGAAGGAGGGUGGAAAGUUCAAAUUGUGACGGUACCUUACGAAAAAGGGACGGCUAACUACGUG
rnacentral:rRNA from 1 species